AGAGUUUGAUCCUGGCUCAGGAUGAACGCUAGCGACAAGCCUCAUACAUGCAAGUCGAGGGGCAGCAAGACACUUCGGUGUUGUUGGCGACCGGCGAACGGGUGCGUAACACGUAUGUAACCUACCCUAUACUGGGGGAUAGCUUUCGGAAACGAAAAUUAAUACCCCAUAUUAUCUAGUCUUUAUUAAGAUAAUUAGAUGAAAGCUCUGGUGGUAUAGGAUGGGCAUGCGCCCCAUUAGUUUGUUGGUAGGGUAAUGGCCUACCAAGACUAUGAUGGGUAGGGGGUCUGAGAGGAUGGUCCCCCACACUGGCACUGAGAUACGGGCCAGACUCCUACGGGAGGCAGCAGUAGGGAAUAUUGGUCAAUGGGCGAAAGCCUGAACCAGCUAUGUCGCGUGCAGGAUGAAUGCCCUAUGGGUUGUAAACUGCUUUUUUACAGGAAAAUAAAGCUUCUGAGGAAGCCUAAGAUGGUACUGUACGAAUAAGCACCGGCUAACUCCGUGCCAGCAGCCGCGGUAAUACGGAGGGUGCAAGCGUUAUCCGGAUUUACUGGGUUUAAAGGGUACGUAGGUGGUCGAGUAAGUCAUUAGUGAAACCUAACAGCUCAACUGUUAGCGUGCUAAUGAUACUGUUUGACUUGAGUGUGGUCGAGGUGGGCGGAAUUCUACAAGUAGCGGUGAAAUGCGUAGAUAUGUAGAGGAACACCGAUAGCGAAGGCAGCUCACUAGGCCAUUACUGACACUGAGGUACGAAAGCGUGGGGAGCAAACAGGAUUAGAUACCCUGGUAGUCCACGCCGUAAACGAUGGUCACUCGAUAUACGUUUUUAAACGUGUGUCUUAGCGAAAGCGUUAAGUGACCCACCUGGGGAGUACGUUCGCAAGAAUGAAACUUAAAGGAAUUGACGGGGGUCCGCACAAGCGGUGGAACAUGUGGUUUAAUUCGAUACUACGCGAGGAACCUUACCUAGGGUAAAUGGAUGUUGCUAUGCCAAGAAAUUGGUAGUCCCGCAAGGGCGACAUACAAGGUGCUGCAUGGCUGUCGUCAGCUCGUGCCGUGAGGUGUUAGGUUAAGUCCCUUAACGAGCGCAACCCCUAUGCUUAGUUGCCAGCACGUAAUGGUGGGAACUCUAAGCAAACUGCCUGCGAAAGCUGUGAGGAAGGAGGGGACGAGGUCAAGUCAUCAUGGCCCUUAUACCUAGGGCUACACACGUGUUACAAUGGCGUGUACAACGGGUUGCUUCCUGGUAACAGAUUGCUAAUCUCUAAAAACACGUCUCAGUUCGGAUUGAGGUCUGCAACUCGACCUCAUGAAGUUGGAAUCGCUAGUAAUCGUGCAUCAGAAUGGCGCGGUGAAUACGUUCUCGGACCUUGUACACACUGCCCGUCAAGCCAUGGAAGUCGGAGGGAUCUAAAGAGAGCUACUGUCAAAAGGGCUUUUUAGGGUUAAGUCGAUAACUAGGGCUAAGUCGUAACAAGGUAGUCGUACCGGAAGGUGUGGCUG
rnacentral:rRNA from 1 species